rnacentral:rRNA from 1 species
GACAGAGGAUGCAAGCGUUAUCCGGAAUGAUUGGGCGUAAAGGGUCCGCAGGUGGCAGUGUAAGUCUGCUGUCAAAGAAUGAGGCUUAACCUCAUCAAGGCAGUGGAAACUACACAGCUAGAGUACGGUCGGGGUAGAAGGAAUUCCUGGUGUAGCGGUGAAAUGCGUAGAGAUCAGGAAGAACACCGGUGGCGAAAGCGUUCUGCUAGACCUGUACUGACACUGAGGGACGAAAGCUAGGGGAGCGAAUGGG